CAGCCGCCGCGGUAAUACGUAGGGGGCGAGCGUUACCCGGAUUCACUGGGCGUAAAGGGGGUGUAGGCGGCUCGGUAAGUCGGGUGUGAAAUCCCACGGCUCAACCGUGGAAUUGCGCCCGAAACUGCCGAGCUUGGGGCCGGUAGAGGGAGACGGAACUGCCGGUGUAGGGGUGAAAUCCGUAGAUAUCGGCAGGAACGCCGGUGGGGAAGCCGGUCUCCUGGGCCGCGCCCGACGCUGAGGCCCGAAAGCUAGGGGAGCAAACCGGAUUAGAUCCCCGGGUAGUCCACGCCGUAAACGGUGGGCACUAGGUGUGGGGGGUUAAUCCCUCCGUGCCGAAGCUAACGCAUUAAGUGCCCCGCCUGGGGAGUACGGCCGCAAGGUUGAAACUUAAAGGAAUUGGCGGG
rnacentral:rRNA from 1 species